rnacentral:lncRNA from 1 species
GAGCUGGGCCCCGGCGGGUCCUGGUGGCGCCGAUAACCCGGAGCUUCCUCUUCUGCUUCCCAGAAGUGCCUCCGGCUUCUCGGAACCGCGGCUGCAAAACACACUCAGGACAACAGCCAGACGUGGGGGGUGAACGGGGAGACCGGAGCCCUGGUGGACAUGAAGGAGCUGGGGGUCUGGGAGCCGCUGGCGGUCAAGCUGCAGACCUACAAGACAGCGGUGGAGACGGCCGUUCUCCUGCUCCGCAUCGAUGACAUCGUGUCGGGGCACAAAAAGAAGGGCGAGGAGAAGAGCCAGGGCCCGGCGGCGCCAGAGCCAGCGCAGGAAUGAGCUCCGGGAAUGAGGGAUCCAGUCGCCGAUGGGAAGAACCAGCCGGCACCCGGCUCCCUGGAGCUGCUGGGGCUGAAGCCUUGGGGUGGGAUGGGGCAGAGCAACGCGAAGGUGGGGCGGGGGCUCAGUGCCCUGCUCGGGGGGCAGGCACUGGGCACGGGAGGCUCUGGAAUGUCACGGUUUGCCUGGGAAAUAAACCCAAUCACAUCA